UACGUAGGGGGCGAGCGUUGUCCGGAUUUAUUGGGCGUAAAGAGCUCGUAGGCGGCUUGUCGCGUCGACUGUGAAAACCCGCGGCUCAACUGUGGGCUUGCAGUCGAUACGGGCAGGCUGGAGUUCGGUAGGGGAGACUGGAAUUCCUGGUGUAGCGGUGAAAUGCGCAGAUAUCAGGAGGAACACCUAUUGCGAAGGCAGCUCGCUGGGACGUAACUGACGCUGAGACGCGAAAGCGUGGGGAGCAAACAGG
rnacentral:rRNA from 1 species